AGCAGGUGAGUGCAGAUAGGGUAGACAGAGCAGGUGAGUGCAGAUAGGGUAGACAGAGCAGGUGAGUGCAGAUAGGGUAGACAGAGCAGGUGAGUGCAGAUAGGGAAGACAGAGCAGGUGAGUGCAGAUAGGGUAGACAGAGCAGGUGAGUGCAGAUAGGAUAGACAGAGCAGGUGAGUGCAGAUAGGGUAGACAGAGCAGGUGAGUGCAGAUAGGGUAGACAGAGCAGGUGAGUGCAGGUAGGGUAGACAGAGCAGGUGAGUGCAGAUAGGAUAGACAGAGCAGGUGAGUGCAGAUAGGGUAGACAGAGCAGGUGAGUGCAGGUAGGGUAGACAGAGCAGGUGAGUGCAGGUAGGAUAGACAGAGCAGGUGAGUGCAGGUAGGGUAGACAGAGCAGGUGAGUGCAGGUAGGGUAGACAGAGCAGGUGAGUGCAGAUAGGAUAGACAGAGCAGGUGAGUGCAGGUAGGGUAGACAGAGCAGGUGAGUGCAGGUAGGGUAGACAGAGCAGGUGAGUGCAGGUAGGGUAGACAGAGCAGGUGAGUGCAGGUAGGGUAGACAGAGCAGGUGAGUGCAGGUAGGGUAGACAGAGCAGGUGAGUGCAGGUAGGGUAGACAGAGCAGGU